AACGUAGGAGGCGAGCGUUAUCCGGAUUUACUGGGCGUAAAGCGCAUGUAGGCGGUCUUGUAAGUUGGAUGUGAAAGCUCCUGGCUUAACUGGGAGAGGUCGUUCAAUACUGCGAGACUAGAGAGUGAUAGAGGAAGAUGGAAUUCCGGGUGUAGUGGUGAAAUGCGUAGAUAUCCGGAGGAACACCAGUGGCGAAAGCGGUCUUCUGGAUCACUUCUGACGCUCAGAUGCGAAAGCUAAGGUAGCAAACGGGAUUAGAGACCCCGGUAGUCUUAGCUGUAAACGAUGUAGACUUGGCGUUGGUGGGGUCAAAUCCAUCAGUGCCGGAGCAAACGCGGUAAGUCUACCGCCUGGGGACUACGGCCGCAAGGUUAAA
rnacentral:rRNA from 1 species